CGCAUAUAUACAACUUAGCAUAAUUAAUCAAAAAGUGCUAGAAGUAGCUUAAAAGUUUUAAAAGACCCAAUUCACCCCCCCCCCCCUCUUGGGUUGUAUCUACUGGGCAACAGAUUAUGUCGAGCUCCUGGCUAGGCCAACAAGUACAUCAAUGCUUAGGAGGCCAUGAUGGCUCAGUGUGAGUCAGUCGAGAGCAAACUCAACAAAAGAAAGAAUAAUAAGCAAGCUUAGGAAGAUUCAGAAGAGCCUAGUAAGAAGUUGAGGAAGAAUGAAGAAGGUCCUCGUCCAUCGAGCAAUCCCUCUAGGAGGUUCAAGAGGUAUACUCCUCUCAA
rnacentral:lncRNA from 1 species